GAAUCAAGCUUUCAAAUGGUGCAUUUAGUUUUCCGCUAUCUCUAAUAAUAAGAAAGAUAUCAGCUAAUAAAAUAGAUAGGAAAUGACGGGUAAAAGUUUGUUGUUGGAAGGUUUGUUGCUAUCGUCACACGGGUUAUUUAUUUAUUUUUAUUUUGUAACCAUGUAUACACAUGUCUUUUUUAAUAACUAUUUUAAUUUAAGUAAACUAUUGUUAAAUAAGCUACUAUGCUUAUUUAUCAUUUAUAUUUACAACAUAAAGAUAUUUCAAUCGUUUGACAGAUCAAUUGAUACACAAUCUAUUAACACAAAGUCUAUUAACACGCAUUUGGUAGAAACAAUUCUAUCUAACGACAGGUAAUUGUCGUUAUGCAUUGAUAACCUAAGAAAUAAGGUUAUGUUGUAAUCUCAAUAAGUUUAGUGAAAAUAACAUUUUAUUUUGUGCGUGGGUAUAAAUUAAACAAUUUGAGGUUAGGAUUUAAUACGAAAAUGCAUAUUUAACAUUGCUGUGAACUUCCAAAAGGAAACGUCAAAUCGCAACUUUAAAGUGAAUUUUCGAAAAUUUAAUUGUAUGGAUUAGGGUUACAUGUUAAAUGUGUUAAACCAAUGCCAUUGCUGAUUAAAAGUUGAUAAUUUACCUAGAUUCAUAAAAGAGACAUCAGCGGAGAGGUCGACGAAAUCAAAACAAAUAUUGAAAGCAGAGAGGAUCUAAAAAUAGCCUCUUUUCAACUAAACAAUCUCAUACAUAGUGCACAAUGAAUCAAGCUAUCCAAUAAAACACAAAAGAGUGCAAUUCUAUGUGCCUUGGUGGAAUAAAGACCUUGAAAAACAACUAGUCAUGGUUAGAAGUUUAUAUAAUAAUUGUUGUUUAUUCUUCUUAACAUCGUGAGUAAUGGAUAUGAGGUCAAAUUAUUUUCUUUGUACUUAUCGAUGUUAUUUACUUUUUGGUUUUUCUACAUGUUUCGAGGAAUCUGAGCCCUCAUCAUCAGGAAGAAAUCGUCGAUAAGUACAAAGAAAAUAAUUUGACUUCAUAUCUAUAUAAUAAAGUCAAAAAUUUUAGAAAAUGAGCCGAAAACCUUGAAAUAUAAGCAUUCAAAACAUAGAAAACUAAACGUAACGUCAAUUCUUUUGGCUAUUUUAACAGGGUAUGCAACCCAAAUAACAUAAUUAUAAUUUAGCAACAAAAUAAUUAUUAUUGAUUAAAAAUUAAAAAUUAA